GGCUGGUCUGAAGAUAGUGAGUCAUCUCUGUCAGUUACAGAUGAAACUCCUUGUUCUGCUUUUUCCCCCCUUCUCACUAUUACACUGACUAGUCUUAA
rnacentral:Y_RNA from 1 species